GAGAAGGUUAGUAGUACACUGGCUCAGGAUGAACGCUAGCAGAACGCCUAACACAUGCAAGUCGAACGGAUCUUCGGAUUAGUGGCAGACGAGCGAGUAACACGUACUAACUUGCCCUGAGAUGGGAACAACUAUAGAGAUAUAGCUAAUUCCCAAUAUGCUCACGAUGGUGAAAUCCCAAUGUGAGGAAAGAUUUAUCGCUCAAGGAGAGGGGUGCGUCCUAUCAGGUAGUUGGUAAGGUAACGGCUUACCAAGCCUAUGACGGGUAGCCGGUUUGAGAUGAUGAUCGGCCGCGAUGGGACUGAGAUACGGCCCAUACUCCUACGGGAGGCAGCAGUGGGGAAUAUUGCACAAUGGACGAAAGUCUGAUGCAAGCGAUUCUGCGUGGAGGAUGAAGCAUUACGGUGUGUAAACUCCUUUUCUGGUAGAAGACGAAUGACGGUAUACCAGGAAUAAGGGACGGCUAACUAUGUGCCAGCCGCUGC
rnacentral:rRNA from 1 species